rnacentral:tRNA from 1 species
GGUACGGGUAGAGGAUCUCCUUGGCCUCGGCGUCGGUCUCGGCGAUGAAUCCGGGCGAGUGCAUGGCGAUGGGCUGCGAGGGCUUGCCGAACUC